AGAAAGUCAUAUAGGUGCUGUCCAUACUUCUAUAAUAUAGUUGCCCCCCAUGUUGAUUGUGAGUACAGAUGAUAAACAGGGCACCAAAUGCUGCUUUUGCCUCUUUUUUUUCUUCACAAUUUCACCCACUGAUGGCUAUUGAGAAAGUCUGUAAAGUAGGGAUCUUGGAGUUCACUUUACAUCUGGUGACAAGACAUAUAAGAGCAAUGUAAUUUUAUAAGAAAGUCAUGUAGAAAGAAGAAUGUUUAAGAAGAUGUAAUUAGUAUGUUUGAAGAAGUACACUCAUAUGAUGGCUUUUUGGAUGCAUAUUGAGAGGAGUCUGUUUUUUGGUGCAUCUCUAUACAUUAUGAGUUAUAUACUCCCAUAGGCCAUAACAAUUGUAGGUGAUAUCUAAACUUCUAUAAUUUAGAUGCCCCUGUGCUGAUUGUGAGUAGAGAUAAGAAACAUGUGGGUCAGGUGUUAGUUAGAAGGGUUACUGUAAGUGCGGUUUGUUCGAUUACGACUGAUUCAGGUGGAACAACCAACUUGUUUUGUUGCAUUGUUUUUAAUGUAUAAAUACUUUCUGUAUUACA